AGUUUAUUUACUAUGAAAAUACAACAUUUUCAGGGACAUAGCACUAAAGUUUUUGGGUUUCUCAGUCUUAGACUACAUUCAGCUCCUGCAUUUCAUGUACUACUGUAAGUGUGGAUGGGAACUCACUAAAUUGGGUAAUGAUAAUGAAGAUUCUCAUCUUCAAACAUCCAUUAUCUUCUUAUUUUGGAGGAGUUGCCCAGUGAAAAACAUUCCAUUUGGUAAAAAGGAGCAUGUUUACAUGUAAAUUGCAAGCAUUUGACUUCAAGGAUAUUCCAUUAUUGGAUUUAUCUCUGGUUUACCAUUCAUGGAAUAAAUAUGUGAUUCCCUACGAAAUCUAAACCAGUUCUAAUCCAACACACACAUCUCAACCAUCACCACCCGAAAACCAGAAAGAACGAUUGUAAAUCAAGAACCCACAAUGAGAAAUACUCAAACAUCUUCUCUUCAUUAGCUACGAAGACAUCAAGACAGAACAAUUGAAUACAUUUAUGAUAGGCAGAAAGUCCAAUCCUCAUAGAUCCACCAGGCUUAAACUUAUUGAAACAUAUGAGAGAGAGCAUAAUAGAAUUACCAAGUCGAUUGCUAUGAUACCCGGAGAAAACAAAGCAAUCGCUGCAGACGAGUGGAGCCGACCGGCAGUGACCGGGAGAUUUGCGAUUUUUGAAGAUGAAGUAUAGGCGCAAGCGAAGAUGCGGAGACAGAGGGUAUCAAGAAAAAAUGAUAAAAGUGUGGUGAGGAGUGGAAGAGAAGGAGAUUGAGGAAACGAAACAGAGAAAGAACGAGGAAGCUGUAGUUUCAAGUGACGGUGAAGAAAGGUAGAAGAUGGGGAGACUAAGAUUUGAUGAUAACGUGGAUUCCUGGUGCUGCCAUUUAAAAAAAAAAAAAAUCAAAACCCAAGAAGUAAAAUCUACGAAACCAGGAACCACUUCACCCGCUAUCUGUGCAGAACAAAUGGAUCUGCAACAUGGAGGAUGAUGGGCUUUCAUGAGCUUUUCUUGAGGUCAUUUUUAUCCUAUUUUUAUUUUUAUUUUUAAAUUUUAAAUUUUAAUUUCUAUUUAGUGUGAAUUAUUUAUUUUUUAUUAUUUUGGGAGAAAAUUUUAAUUUUAAUGUAUAAAAAUUUGUCCAAAAAAAUUCUGAAAAUUAAAGUUUCAAAAUUUGGAAAUCUA
rnacentral:lncRNA from 1 species